GGGGGGAGCAAGCGUUGUUCGGAUUUACUGGGCGUAAAGGGCGCGUAGGCGGCCACCGCAAGUCGACUGUGAAAUCUCCGGGCUUAACCCGGAAAGGUCAGCCGAUACUGCGGGGCUAGAGUGCAGAAGGGGCAACUGGAAUUCUCGGUGUAGCGGUGAAAUGCGUAGAUAUCGAGAGGAACACCUGCGGCGAAGGCGGGUUGCUGGGCUGACACUGACGCUGAGGCGCGAAAGCUAGGGGAGCGAACGGGAUUAGAUACCCCGGUAGUCCUAGCCUUAAACGAUGAAUGCUUGGUGUCUGGGGUUUUAUAGUCCCCGGGUGCCGUCGCUAACGCUUUAAGCAUUCCGCCUGGGGAGUACGGUCGCAAG
rnacentral:rRNA from 1 species